rnacentral:ncRNA from 1 species
CCAAGGUUCACUCUAUAGGCUACACCUUUGCUCUAAUACAUCAUCCCGUUCUACAGCCUUCACUGGAAUGCCCUUCAAGGACGCUGGACCGGAGCUUUUGCUAUGGAUCUGCAGUAGAGCAUGUAUGUUGGGACCCGAAAGAUGGUGAACUAUGCCUGAAUAGGGUGAAGCCAGAGGAAACUCUGGUGGAGGCUCGUAGCGAUUCUGACGUGCAAAUCAAUCAUUGAAUUUGGGUAUAGGGGUGAAAGACUAAUUGAACCAUCUAGUAGCUGG